rnacentral:tRNA from 1 species
CCUGGAGAUCCAGUGGUUAAGACUCUGCACUUCUAAUGCAGGGGGUGUGGGUUCGAUCCCUCAUCCAGGA